UACGGAAGGCAGCAGGGGGAAUAUUGCACAAUGGGCGAAAGCCUGAUGCAGCUAUGCCGCGUGUAUGAAGAAGGCCUUAGGGUUGUAAAGUACUUUCAUCGGGGAGGAAAAAACAAAACUAAUAAUUUUAUUUCUUGACGUUACCCGAAAAAGAAGCACCGGCUAACUCCGUGCCAGCAGCCGCGGUAAUACGGAGGGUGCUAGCGUUAAUCAGAAUUACUGGGCGUAAAGAGCACGUAGGUGGUUUUUUUAAAGUCAGAUGUGAAAUCCCUGGGCUUAACCUAGGAACUGCAUUUUGAAACUGAAAUACUAGAGUAUCGUAGAGGGAGGUAGAAUUCUAGGUGUAGCGGUGAAAUGCGUAGAUAUCUGGAGGAAUACCUGUGGCGAAAGCGGCCUCCUAAACGAAUACUGACACUGAGGGUGCGAAAGCGU
rnacentral:rRNA from 1 species